UGGGGAAUCUUCGGCAAUGGGGGGAACCCUGACCGAGCAACGCCGCGUGAGUGAAGAAGGUUUUCGGAUCGUAAAGCUCUGUUGUUAAGGAAGAACGAGUGUGAGAAUGGAAAGUUCAUACUGUGACGGUACUUAACCAGAAAGGGACGGCUAACUACGUGCCAGCAGCCGCGGUAAUACGUAGGUCCCGAGCGUUGUCCGGAUUUAUUGGGCGUAAAGCGAGCGCAGGCGGUUAGAUAAGUCUGAAGUUAAAGGCAGUGGCUCAACCAUUGUAGGCUUUGGAAACUGUUUAACUUGAGUGCAGAAGGGGAGAGUGGAAUUCCAUGUGUAGCGGUGAAAUGCGUAGAUAUAUGGAGGAACACCGGUGGCGAAAGCGGCUCUCUGGUCUGUAACUGACGCUGAGGCUCGAAAGCGUGGGGAGCGAACAGG
rnacentral:rRNA from 1 species